CCGAUUAUACCCCAAAACCCAGCAUCAUGCAACUUACUCAUGUAACAAACAUAAACAUGUACCCCCUGAAUUUAAAAUAAAAGUUGACACUAUUAAAAAAAUUUUUAAAAACUUAAAAAAUUUCUGAACAAAUAAAUUCAAUGAUUUUGAGAAAGUUGACAAAAACAAGAAUCAUCCUUGACCAACUAUUUUUAAAGCUAGAUGAAAUUUAGUUGACCUUUCCUCCUAACCUUAAACAAAAUGAUGCCUUCUUUCCUUAUAUUAGAAAAUUCUUUUAGAGCCUUUUUAUGGCUGAUGUUUUUGAACAUAGGUCUAUGUUAAUGAUGCAUUGGUUGAUUUUAUAUCCUGUGCUUAUCUAAACACAGUGGAAGCCACAGAAGUAAUUCCAUGAUGAGUGCCAUAGGCUGGAUAAUGGCCCCCAAGGAUAAGGAGGUCCUGAUCCUGGGAACCUGUGAAUGGCAAAAAUGAUUUUGCAUAUGUGGAAAGAUAAAGGAUUUUGAGAUGGGGCAGUUAUGUCGGGUUAUCAGUAUGGGCCCAAAUAUAAUAACAGGAGUCCUUAUGAGAAAGAGGCAGAGAGGGAAUUUACACUGAAGAUAAGAAGACAAUGUGACCAUAGAAGCAAUGGCAAUAUCUCUCAAAACAUCCUUUCCUAGCCGUGACCACUGCCAACUCUUAUGUUGGCAGCUUCUAAUUAGUGCUCUUGAGUCACUGUGAUUAUUUUUCCCUUGUGACCCUAUGAUCAGACCCUUCUCUGUUCAGUCUCUCCUGCCAACAGCUGCUAGAUCACUCUUCAGAAGAUGUUGCCUGCAUCACACAAGUCCCUGCUGAAAUCCACAGUGGCUCCCCACUGCCAAAGACUGGAGUGAUGCAAUCACAAGCCAAGAAAUGCUGGCAGCCACCAAAAACUGGAAAAGCAGCUAUCAGCAGUGACCCUGAGUGAGGCUUUUAAGGAGGAGCAGAGACCAGCUGACCACCAUGGACAGCAACUGGUGCCUACCACACUCUGGCGUCCCUCCCGUGGGCUGUGAGCUGGAGUGUACAACACAGGAUCACAGCCUACACUUCAGCAACUGAAACAGAAGAGCGCGUUUCCUGUUGUAUUUGCAUAAUGGAGGACUUUCCUUAUGCUCCACAUUCCAACAAUUACCAUCAUGUUUUAAAAUAAGCAAGGCAACUCUUCGUGCAUUGGAAAUUAUGAGAAAUCCUUGGAAAAUGAAAAGCAGAAGGGAUUAUGUUAAAGCCUUAAGCUAAGGCAAGAUCAAAUGAGAACCAAGAGGUUUAUUCUCCAGCACUUGUGAACCAGAGAGUCUCUGAGCUUGGAGAUUCCAGACAAAUGGGAUGAAGGGGUGCCAUGCACACUGAGGAUUCCUGCAGCCCCAUCCUCCCUGCCAGCUCAGAAUGCCAAGAGCCACAGGACACUUGAAUAUAUUCAGACCUACUAUGUUUCUCAGAGCAUUCUUCCUUGUGCAUGGCUCUGAAUCAUGUUUCAAGUGCUUGUACUCGGACCCUAUCAUCCACAAGGUAAAGAACCUGAGUGUCAGAGACGUCUCACAAGUACUAAGCAGUGAAGCUUGAUUUGAGUUCACUUCAGGCUGAUUCCAGAAAUAGUGAAAUAUAAUUCCUCCUCAAAUAAGCGAUACAAUUAGACCUCUAGUUUGUUGGUAAUAAAAUUUUGAAAGUCUGUCUUUGGCCUUUUUCUCUCCCCUGGGACUCUCUCAUCCAGGCCUGGUAUCUCCCUGAGUGCUGUAUUGCAAUAGCGGCCCACUCAGCAUCUUUAUAUGCAUGUCUAAGAGGUCUCUGAAACCCAAUGUGCCCUAAAACUCCUGAUUUUUGCCUCCUAAUUCCCCACACCACACUUUCCCUCCCUCAGUUUUCCUCCUUUUAGGAAAUAGCUAUCUAAUAGCUCAACUUCAAAAAUGAAGAAGCUGCUUUCAACUCCUUUGUUUUCCUUAUUCCCAUAAUUAGUCAAUCAGCAAUAAUGUCUGUCAUGUUUCAAAAAUAUUCACUGGCUUCUCUUCCCUUCUACUAACUGACCAAAUCACCAUCUGCUCUCACCUGAAUUAACACAAUCACCUCUUACUUACCACCUUUCUCUGUGUCCUUACCAAACUUGACAGUGUAUUCGCCAAAAGGCAGCCAAAGUUAUAUUUUUAAAAUAGAAAUUAAAAUAAAAUAAAAUAUAAAAAUAGAAAUCAUGCUGUUUCCUUCUUAAAUCCCUCUAAUAUCCUUUUAUUUCACUUAUAAUAAAAUCCAUAAGCCUUAUGAUUUGCAAGGUCCUGAAUUAUCGGGCCUGUAAUUCUCCCCUGUCUUCUAUAAACACCAUUCCAACAACUCUGGCCUUUUUCUUUGCGUAGUACAUUGAGCUCCUUCUUUCCUAAGGGACUCUGAACUCUAUACUUUCCCUUUCUGUAGAUGAGCAUCUGCUCUGGAGCCAGGCUACCACAAUGUGAAUACCAGCUCCUCCAUUAACCCACUAUGAACAGUUCUUGACCUUUUCUCUGCCUCAGUUCUUUCAUAUGUAAAAUGGGAAUAGUUAUAAUACCUGUCUCAUACUGUUGUAGUAAAGCUUAAAUGAGUUAAUAUGCCAUUGGGAUUUUGAUAGGAAUUGCAUUGAAUCUGUAGAUCACUUUUGGGUAGUACAGACAUUCUAAGAAUAUUAAUUCUUCCAGUCCAGGAACAUGAGAUGUCUUUCCAUUUGUCUGUGUCUGCUUUAAUUUAUUUCAAUAUUAUUUUAUGCAUUUCAGGGUACAAGUUAUUUGCCUCCUUGGCUAUACUUAUUCCUAAGUAUUUUAUCUUUAAUGCUGUUGUGAAUGAAAUUGUUUUCUUAAUUUCCUUUUCAGACAGUUCCUUGUUAGUGUACAGAAGUGCAACUAAUUUUUAUAUGUUGAUUUUGUAUCCUGCAACUUUACUAAAUAUGUUUAUGGCAUAGGUUGUGGUGAUGAUUUCAUAAGUGUAUACUUCUCUCCAAGCUCAUCAAGCUGUACACAUUAAACAUGCACAGAUUUUAUAUGUUCAUACCUCUAUAAAGUGGCUUAAAAAUGAGUACAUGAGUCAAUAUACACUAGUACUUUCCAGCAAGGGAUAGUUGUUGUUAUUGGUGAAGAUUAUUAUUCCUUUUGAUCUUUGUGUGGGUGGUUCUUUCUUUCAGUUUUCAGCUUUCAGAGAUGCCUUCUUUGGCUAUUCUGUCUGUACUUGUCCCAUACUGGAAUUUCACACUAUUUUCUUCCUAACACUAUCUUCAUCUGAGAUUUUCUUACUUCUCUUAAUUUUUAUUGCUUCUUUCCAUUUUGAAUACAAACUCCAGGAGAGCAGUGGCACCAUG
rnacentral:lncRNA from 1 species